ACAGAGGCCUCGAGCGUUAGGCGGAAUUACUGGGCGUAAAGGGUGCGUAGGUGGUUUGAUAAGUGAGGUGUGAAAGUCCUGGGCUUAACCUGGGGACUGCGCUUAAUACUGUCGAGCUAGAGUACUGUAGAGGAAGGUGGAAUUUCCGGUGUAGCGGUGAAAUGCGUAGAUAUCGGAAGGAACAUCAGUGGCGAAGGCGACUUACUGGACACAUAUUGACGCUGAGGUGCGAAAGCGUGGGGAGCAAACAGG
rnacentral:rRNA from 1 species